UAUAUAUAUAUAUAUAUAUAUAUAUAUAUAUAUAUAUAACCUAAUUGGAAAAAGCCCCAAAAGGAGUAGAUAAGCAAGGAAAUCAGAUAUCCGGCCAAACUUAUCAAAUAGAUUUUCUGCCCACCAGGUUUGCCAAGUCAACGACACUAGUGGCAUUUGUUCUGCCGACAUGCUUUAGAAUAUCAGCAAAAGGCUGCAAAACAUUGCAGUUUAUAAUGUUUUCAACCGCCAAGACAAAUUUUAAAGCAAAAAACCGCCUCACGUCGAAGAUAGGGGAAAAUUUCUCUUCUCUGGUUUAACUUGGUAUAGUGUGAAAUUUCCAUGUCACAUUACCUCUAACAACUUCAAAAUCUUCUCACAGCCACUAUUCUUUCUUCCACCACUGCCUCGUAGUAAGGUGUUGAACAAUGUCCAGUGUGUUGAACAAUGUAUUUAAUUUGUCAUUGAAGGGGAUGGGAAUCAGUACAAUCUCAUGGGACUAGGAUAAAGGCCCGGUCACAUUACAGAAUAAUAAUGAUAACUUGUAUACUGUAUAUAGGUCCGCUGAUUGGUAAAAAAUUUGAAUGAAAAAAAUUGCUUGGGUGAGUGAUUUUAAAAUUGUUAUCGUCAAACUAUAAUUUUGUCAUUUUCACCAACACAACUUUUUUCACCAACAUCGCAUGUUUAUCGUAUCAUUGUGUAGUGUGACCAGACCUUAAUUAAAUUUCAUUUUUAAAACCGUAAACUUCCUACAACUAGAACAACUUAUCAAAAUAUUAUUAAUAAAAUAUGCAAGGCUUUUUUUACAUCAGUAAUGGUAUAAUACUGUAACUGAUACAAGUGAAUCCCCAGCCAUUUUCGGAUUAAGAAAUGCACCAGUCAUUUGAAACACCCAACUCCCUGGGUGAUUAAAAUUGCAGUGAAUUCCCACCACCAGGACAAAAAAGACAUGAUGAAUUGUAUUCCCCCAGUCUUGUCAUCCCUGAAUACUCAAUUGAACAUUUUACAGAAUAUUUAACUGAGUUUAAAUCUAAAAAAGUGGUACUUUGAGUGAGGGUUGGAACAUGAAGUUGACUGACUUGACUCCUUGUUAAUAUUAUUUUACUAAAGUUUUUGGAGUGACAUCAACAGAAUCCCACACCAUUCUCCGAUUUGGUCACCGAGGUGGUGAAUGUAUUAGUGUCUUCCCAGUUUCCUAGGAAAACUGGAAUAAUAAUUAAUAGACCAAUGAAUAUGAUAUGGUCGCCCCCGCUUUCCCACCGGUAUGUGCAAGGUGGGGGUAGGGGAUCCCAAAUGACUGGUGCAUAACCAAGGCAGUGAAGCUAUUAGUACUAGUAGUGGUACGUACUUCCAUGUUUACCAGGAAGUGAUAAACCUGUGAAUAUGAGGAGCUGCAUGCUUUACCACGGGUAUAUGCCAAAGGGUUAGGGACUUAAAAAUAAAUGACUAGUGCAUAUUAUCAUACUAAAUAUUGACAUAAUGUUUUUGCCUUAUUGGCAGUUAUUAUCUCUAGAUUGAUAUUUAAUAAGCUACUGUAUAAAAAAUGUUAAUAGGUAUUAUUUUGCCCUCGCAAGAUUAUAAUAAACUUCACUUUGACUUACGAUUGACAUUGUCGGGAAAACGUCUAUUCGUGACUUCUGGCUCUCCAAAUUUUAAUAUUAUAUAAAAUAGCAUGCUCGACGUCUCGACCCCAUGAUCAAACAUUCAAACGUUAUGAUCUUUUAAAUAAAAUGCAUGAAGAAGGACUGUCUACAAAGAACUGCCAACAUUUUACAAAUUGUCUUUUCUCUUGUAAAAUAUAAAAUUGCAAAUGUUUUCAAAUCGAGUUGC
rnacentral:lncRNA from 1 species